rnacentral:rRNA from 1 species
GAUGAACGCUGGCGGCGUGCCUAAUACAUGCAAGUCGAGCGAAAAGACGCGGCGCUUGCUCCUCUCACGUUAGCGGAGCACGGGUGAGUAACACGUGUAUACCCUCCCUAUAAGUCUGGGAUAACUUCGGGACUCCGGAGCUAAUCCCGUAUAAUAUCUUGCACCGCAUGGUUCAUUAGUGAAAGUCGGUUUUGCUGUCACUUAUAGAUGCAUCCGCGCGGCAUUAUCUAGUUGGUAAGGUAACGGCUUACGAAGGCUACGCUGCGUAGCCGACGUGCGAGGGGGUACGGCCACACUGGAGCUGAGAGACGGUCCAGACACCGAGGGGAGGCAGCAGUAGGGAAGCGUCCGAAAUGGGCGAAAGCUUGACGGAGCAACGCAGCGCGAGUGAUGAAGGUCUGCGUAUCGGAAAACUGUGUUAUGGGGGAAGAACAAAUGUGUAAGUAACGAUGCGCGUCUGGACGGAACCUAAACAGAAAGCCACGGCUAACUACGU